rnacentral:misc_RNA from 1 species
CGAUUGUCGCCGAUGAUGAGCCAUCCUAUCGCGCAGGUUCUAAACACCUCAUCAACUCUUGCGAACGCACAAAGAACAUCCGCACAAACUCGGCGUGUGUGACUAAAUCUACACAGUUGUUGCCUUGGUUCGGUCAUAUUGUGAUUGCGCCUUCGCGACAUCGGUCAUGUGCCGCUCGGCCCAGAUGCGCAAGGCAUCGACAGUCUCGCUAAGC